rnacentral:rRNA from 1 species
UACAGAGGUGGCAAGCGUUGUUCGGAAUUACUGGGCGUAAAGGGCGCGUAGGCGGCCAACUAAGUCAGACGUGAAAUCCCUCGGCUUAACCGGGGAACUGCGUCUGAUACUGGGUGGCUUGAAUCCGGGAGAGGGAUGCGGAAUUCCAGGUGUAGCGGUGAAAUGCGUAGAUAUCUGGAGGAACACCGGUGGCGAAGGCGGCAUCCUGGACCGGUAUUGACGCUGAGGAGCGAAAGCCAGGGGAGCAAACGGG